rnacentral:lncRNA from 1 species
UUCUACACCUACAUUCCAUCAUUGACGUCUGGUUUUGAUAAUACGACACGGACAAGUACAUACAACUGUUACGCUAAAAUGGAGACACAUCAUCCAUAACUACUAUGAAUAAUAGAGAGAAUGGAACACAAGUUCGGAGAUUUUUACCUUCAAUCAUAUUAUUCACUUGCAUAAAAUAAUCUCAAACUUUUUCCUCAAUUUAGUCUCAUGCCAAAGUGGCCAUAGGAGAAAAGUCCGAUGUCAUCUUUUUAUAGAUUUUAGGCGUCUACUUCUUUGAGGACAUAAGAGGAGUAACAACAAAAGUAUCAAUUGGCAUCAUCCAUGCUAACCUUUGUGUUGUGCACACAAGUCAUCACUAAUAAAGAAAGGUACAAAACACCAAAGCACUACCGGCUCCACCAUUAAAAACCAUAUUUGAAGUUGUUAUACAAAAUAUCGAUUACAAUAAAAACUCAAGAUCUAACAAGCUAUCUAUUACAACGAGGAUUCAAUCCAGAGGCAUAAGAUAUCAAAGAAUCGAGCUCAAAUCUAUUGUACCCUUAUGCAAUCACUGUGGCCACACAAACCCUAACCACUAAGGAAAUAAGCAAAGUUGCUUCAAUGGACGGUAAAACCUCAACCCAAAGAUUACAGGUGUUUUCCAUUUCAAG